rnacentral:rRNA from 1 species
GAUGAACGCUGGCGGCGUGCCUAAUACAUGCAAGUCGAGCGAAGCGGGGACGGGUGAGUAACACGUGUAAAACCUACUAUAAGACUGGGAAAACUUCCGGAAACCGGAGCUAAACCGGAAAAUUAUAGCUGGAUCCGCGCUGCAUUAGCUAGUUGGUAAGGUAACGGAUUACCAAGGCAACGAUGCAUAGCCGACCUGAGAGGGUGAUCGGCCACACUGGAACUGAGACACGGUCCAGACUCCUACGGGAGGCAGCAGUAGGGAAUAUUCCGCAAUGGGCGAAAGCCUGACGUAGCAACGCCGCGUGAUUGAUGAAGGUCUUCGGAUCGUAAAACUCUUUUAUUAGGGAAGCGGUACCUAAUCAGAAAGCCACGGCUAACUACGUGCCAGCAGCCGCGGUAAUAC